rnacentral:lncRNA from 1 species
CCAAUAAUUCUCGUUUCUAAAUUCUUAUCGAAUUAUUCCCUAUCCAACCAUGUCAUCCCAUAAGCAUGGUUCAUAAUCCAGAAAACUCCUAAAAUACACUUAUCCCAUAUUCUGCCUAUAAUCUCUCUGUUCAGACUAAGUCAGACGAUUCAUUCGUCACUAUUCUCACCAACAGUGAACUUCACUUUGCUACACCACAUACACCCAGCUAUAAAUACACCCAGCUACCCUCUCCCUCUCCACACACAUUCAACACCCUCAGCCAAGGCAAACGCCCACCCACUCGGUUACUCCGCUCUACCGGCUACACGCAUAGUGUCGCUUCGCCUCCAGUCCACCCUCCUGGUAAGCACCUCCGCUCCACCACUAGUAGUAUCUCAACACCACAAGACACAGAUUCUACUCAAGACUCUACCCAUCCAUAUAUCUCUAUUCUGACCACUAUAGUAAAUAUUUGUUGGUAUACUUGCUUGUUUGUAUGUUUGCUUGUUCAUGUUGCAUAGUUAUCGGAGCGUUCGUACUGUCUCGUGUAGGCCAGAUCUACAAGUCUACGCCAGGAGCCAGAAGCCAGUUCCGCGAGCUCUUCUUCCCCCUUCGCCGGAUAAGCACGGCAAGCUCACUGGAUCCCUUUGAUGCAUAAAUUACCUAUGUUUUUCAACCACAACCCUCAGCCUGUUAUUUUAUGCAUGAUAUGAUUUUGAGAUAAGUUAUUAUGGCCACCCAAGCCGCUUGCCGCAAUCAAUACUUGAUAUACUUGUUACAAAUGAUUUGAGAAAAGGUGUGAGUUUUCAAAAGAAAAUGCUUUUCAAAUGUGUAUGAUGAAGGGUUUUCACCCUUAUCACCUUGUGAGUGGGAUAAUCAAGGACUCCCUGGUUCAGGGGAGGGCCUAAGGUGUUGGCUCAGCUGGUUUAGGCGUGAGCAGAAGGAUUGUCCCCUCGUAUAAGGACCGGUUUGUCAUCUUUCACUACCUGUACUCAUGAUAAGUACAACCACUCGAGACUGUGUGGACAAUCACUCAAUCUGAACUCGUACGGUCCAACCCGAGGGUUAUGAAGGCUGGGGAGCACCGGGAGGAUAAGGAGGGAGAAUGUUUUGUCCGGUUUGGACAUGGUGGUGGCCUGACUCCUUCCGGUAUAACCGUUAAGGUUAGGACGUGCGAGGAAAGAAAGAGAUUCGGCAUUCGGGUCUCAUGACGGUGAGAUCACAGAAACCGGACUAGUGGGUAAAGUGUACACCUCUGCGCAGAGUUUGAAAACCUAUUCGAAUAGUCCGUGUCCACAGGAAUGGACGAGUCUGGUAUGGUAUGACAAUUAAUGUUUUGUUUUCAAAAAGGGUGCUUUUGAGAAAAAUGGUUUUUAAAAGGUUCGGCGGUUGAGCCGUGAGCUAUGGUGGACGGGAAGUCCAGUGGCUGUUUUCGAAAAGGAAAACCAGUGGGAAACUGCUGAGAUACCUGGAUGGUUUAGUCCAGGGGAUUUUGUUAUAAUACUGAAAAACUUCCUGCUCCUUUUGG